CGGGGGGAGCAAGCGUUGUUCGGAUUUACUGGACGUAAAGGGCGCGUAGGCGGCCACUGCAAGUCGGUUGUGAAAUCUCCGGGCUUAACCCGGAAAGGUCAACCGAUACUGCAGGGCUAGAGUGCAGAAGGGGCAACUGGAAUUCUCGGUGUAGCGGUGAAAUGCGUAGAUAUCGAGAGGAACACCUGCGGCGAAGGCGGGUUGCUGGGCUGACACUGACGCUGAUGCGCGAAAGCUAGGGGAGCGAACGGGAUUAGAUACCCCGGUAGUCCUAGCCUUAAACGAUGAAUGCUUGGUGUCUGGGGUUUUAUAGUCCCCGGGUGCCGUCGCUAACGCUUUAAGCAUUCCGCCUGGGGAGUACGGUCGCAAGACUG
rnacentral:rRNA from 1 species